rnacentral:piRNA from 1 species
UUGUGACUCAAUUUCAAGAUU